CUGAGUCUCCUCCCUCUGACUGAGAGAGGCUGCUGCUGCAGCUGUCUCGACUCAUUAAACAGUGAGUGACUCGAAUCAUUCACACUUCCUGAUGAUUCCAGUCACUGUGUUGAGACAGUGAGUCAGUAGCCAUCUCUACCUCCAUGCUCUGGAUGAUAGCCAAAGACAGCUGAAUCCCGCCCUGCCAGUUUUUGUGCGCCCUGCCGCCCCGCCGUUUGCUGCCUGCCGGACCCCUCCACGUCGGCCAGCCGUGCGCCGCCAGACCCGAAUUAUGUGUGAUAACUAAAGGAGAAUGAGGAAAACAUACGGCACUGUUUGAAGGCAGAAGAGUCACAAGUGUAACUGAGCUGCUAUCUGUUACUGCUCAGGAAAGUGAUGACAUUGUGGAGCAGGAACACAAAGUAAUGUACCAUCAUUACACUGGAAAUCUCUGAUGCUAAGCCCACUGGCCUGUUGUGGGUUGUUGUUUUUUUGUUAACAGGACUUGCUGCAGUACAUAUCCUACAGCAAUAGAAUGUGGCCGAUUGUCAGUCCAUGGAAGAAAAGCUAUCCAUAUGCCAGGGUUAGGAGCUGGUUUAUUAGAUACACCUUUCAAUUACUGGCUAGAAACCCCCUUUUUCCCCAGAACAGUCUGAAUUCUUCAUGACAUGGAUUCAACAUGGGGCUGUAAAAACGGGAUGCGUUUGCCAUCCCAGUGGUCAUGUGACCACCGCCAGAAUCCCGAAACUGCUAAGGACACUUGUGCCAGAACACCGACCACCGGGAUCCCGAAGGUAAAUAUCUGGGAUUAGGUGACGGUGCUUGGAGGUCACAUGAUCUCCAAGCGCCGCCUGUACACACACAGUGAACAGGAAACCGGUCACAUUGACCGGUUCCCAUUCACACCGCACAGUGAGCCGGGUUGAACACGAGUUCAACCCAGCUUGCGACCAGGGUUGAAAUACCGGGUCGCUUGAACCGGUAUUUCAACACUUGCACCUUUCAAACCGCACCUGAACACGGGUUAUGCGCGCUCGUGUACCAAUAGCCCAUGUCCAUAGGUGGCAGUCUGAAAGGGGUACUAGUUAUCUGUACAUGUUAUUAGUACUACAUCUGAUUCACAUUAAUCAAUUGUAUUAGAGGUAGCCCAGUUAUUACAGCAGAGGCAGAGGUCAUGAAUUAAAUGCCUUCUUAUGGUCUCUCUGUGUGUAGAUUUUAUGUUCUCCCUGUGCUUGUAUGUGUUUCCUUCUUGUGCUCCGGAUUUCCUGCCAUGCUCCAAAACAUUCUGGUAGGGUAAUUGUAUUCUGACAAA